GACGAACGCUGGCGGCGUGCUUAACACAUGCAAGUCGAACGGAAAGGCCCUGCUUUUGUGGGGUGCUCGAGUGGCGAACGGGUGAGUGACACGUGAGUAACCUGCCCUUGACUUUGGGAUAACUUCAGGAAACUGGUGCUAAUACCGGAUAGGAGCUCCUGCUGCAUGGUGGGGGUUGGAAAGUUUCGGCGGGUGGGGUUGGACUCGCGGCUUAUCAGCUUGUUGGUGGGGUAGUGGCUUACCAAGGCUUUGACGGGUAGCCGGCCUGGGGGGGUGACCCGCCACAUUGGGAGUGAGAUACGGGCCAGACUACUACGGGAGGGAGAAAGGGGGAAGAUUGGACAAUGGGGGGGACGCGUGUGCAACAAACCCGGGGGGGGGGUGACGGGCUUCGGGGUGGAAAACGGGUUUAGCAGGGAAAGAAGGGGAGUGACGGGAAAUGGAGAAGAAGGACCGGCUAAACAAGGG
rnacentral:rRNA from 1 species